GGGGUAUUAGCUCAGUUGGGAGAGCGUCUGCUUUGCAAGCAGGAGGUCGGCAGUUCGAUUCUGCUAUACUCCACCA
rnacentral:tRNA from 1 species